ACGCUGGCGGCACGCCUAACACAUGCAAGUCGAACGAAGUAGCAAUACUUAGUGGCAGACGGGUGAGUAACAUGUGGGUAUCUUCCCUUUGGCCUGGAAUAACACGAGGAAACUUGUGCUAAUACCGGAUAAGUCUUUACGGAGAAAGCUUUAUGCACCAUUGGAUGAGCCUGCACUUGAUUAGUUUGUUGGUGGGGUAAUGGCCUACCAAGACUUUGAUCAAUAGCUGAUUUGAGAGGAUGAUCAGCCACAUUGGGACUGAGACACGGCCCAAACUCCUACGGGAGGCAGCAGUGGGGAAUCUUGCACAAUGGAGGAAACUCUGAUGCAGCGAUGCCGCGUGAGUGAAGAAGGCCUUUGGGUUGUAAAGCUCUUUCGUCGGGGAAGAAAAUGACUGUACCCGAAUAAGAAGGUCCGGCUAACUUCGUGCCAGCAGCCGCGGUAAUACGAAGGGACCUAGCGUAGUUCGGAAUUACUGGGCUUAAAGAGUUCGUAGGUGGUUGAAAAAGUUGGUGGUGAAAUCCCAGAGCUUAACUCUGGAACUGCCAUCAAAACUUUUCAGCUAGAGUUUGAUAGAGGAAAGCAGAAUUUCUAGUGUAGAGGUGAAAUUCGUAGAUAUUAGAAAGAAUACCAAUUGCGAAGGCAGCUUUCUGGAUCAAUACUGACACUGAGGAACGAAAGCAUGGGUAGCGAAGAGGAUUAGAUACCCUCGUAGUCCAUGCCGUAAACGAUGUGUGUUAGACGUUGGAAAUUUAUUUUCAGUGUCGCAGCGAAAGCGAUAAACACACCGCCUGGGGAGUACG
rnacentral:rRNA from 1 species